rnacentral:rRNA from 1 species
GACGAACGCUGGCGGGUGCUAAUACAUGCAAGUCGAGCGAGCGGAACCAACAGAUUUACUUCGGUAAUGACGUUGGGAAAGCGAGCGGCGGAUGGGUGAGUAACACGUGGGGAACCUGCCCCUAAGUCUGGGAUACCAUUUGGAAACAGGUGCUAAUACCGGAUAAUAAAGCAGAUCGCAUGAUCAGCUUUUGAAAGGCGGCGUAAGCUGUCGCUAAGGGAUGGCCCCGCGGUGCAUUAGCUAGUUGGUAAGGUAACGGCUUACCAAGGCGACGAUGCAUAGCCGAGUUGAGAGACUGAUCGGCCACAUUGGGACUGAGACACGGCCCAAACUCCUACGGGAGGCAGCAGUAGGGAAUCUUCCACAAUGGACGCAAGUCUGAUGGAGCAACGCCGCGUGAGUGAAGAAGGUUUUCGGAUCGUAAAGCUCUGUUGUUGGUGAAGAAGGAUAGAGGUAGUAACUGGCCUUUAUUUGACGGUAAUCAACCAGAAAGUCACGGCUAACUACGUGCCAGCAGCCGCGGUAAUACGUAGGUGGCAAGCGUUGUCCGGAUUUAUUGGGCGUAAAGCGAGCGCAGGCGGAAAAAUAAGUCUAAUGUGAAAGCC